UACGAAGGGGGCUAGCGUUGUUCGGAAUUACUGGGCGUAAAGCGCGCGCAGGGGGGUCAUCAAGUCAGGGGUGAAAGCCCAGAGCUCAACUCUGGAACUGCCCUUGAAACUGGUGACCUUGAGUACGGGAGAGGUGAGUGGAAUUCCCAGUGCAGAGGUGAAAUUCGUAGAUAUUGGGCAGACCCCCGGUGGCGAAGGCGGCUCACUGGCCCGUAACUGACGCUCAGGCGCGAUAGCGUGGGGAUCAAACAGG
rnacentral:rRNA from 1 species